UACGAAGGGAGCUAGCGUUGUUCGGAAUCACUGGGCGUAAAGCGCACGUAGGCGGAUGUGUCAGUCAGGGGUGAAAUCCCGGAGCUCAACUUCGGAACUGCCUUUGAUACAGCACGUCUUGAGUCCGAUAGAGGUGGGUGGAAUUCCUAGUGUAGAGGUGAAAUUCGUAGAUAUUAGGGAAGAAACACCGGGUGGCGAAGGCGGCCCACGUGGAUCGGGUACUGGACGCUGAGGUG
rnacentral:rRNA from 1 species